GCAUUGGAGGAAGAGGAGCAUUUGUGGCUGUGGUGCUCAGCCUGGCACACACAAUCACCUGGGGUGCUUUCCCAGCUGCUGAUGCUGAUCCAACCACCAAAGACUCUGACUUGGUUAGCCUGAGUCUGCUUGGGGACAUGGCCCCAGCAGGCAUCAAGAUUUUAAGAUUCCAGGUGAUUCUAACAUGCGGCACAGGGCAAGACCCAUGAAUUAAAGGGACGAGGCUAGUUUCUCCUCUUUUACCGAAGAGGUCUGCGACGGUACUAUGCUUCUGCCUCUUUAAUAGAUGAGGGUGAAAGGCAGCUGAUUUCAUUGGGUCGUUAGAGAACUCAGAACAAGCCCUGAUCUUAUCAGUAAUGUAUUUCCCCGGCCCUACCUCUGGGAAUCUUCUAAGCUUGGGCGGGCUGCCUAAGUGGUGGGGUUUCAGCAAGCUCAGGGCCACUUCCCAAGUGUCUCCCCUCACUAACUGGUAAUGGCGCUUGCAGUGCCGACCACAGAGACUCAAUUUGGGAAUUUACGUGUACUUUAAUUAGGUUAAUGAAUAUUGUUGCUUGCAAUACAUAACACAUUAGCUGAGGGACCCAUCAGCCAGAAUUCAUCAAUCUGAUUAUCCAUGUAUCUGUCAGCGUAAGUGAGAUUAUGCUGCACCAACAGAUGCUCCCCAAACUCCAGGGGCUUAAAAAACAACAGACUUUUUUCUCCCUGGGCUGCAUGUCCAUUCCAGGCCAGCUGGGGCUUCUGCUCCACAGAGCUCACUGCAGAACUGAGGCUGACAUCACUGUCACCACUUGGAGCGUUGGUGUUUGCCUCGGCAGAGGAGGAGGAGGACGAGGCUUCCACCAGAAGGGUGAUUUUGGCUUAUGCUUCGUGGGCCAAAGCGAGUCACAUGGCCACCUCUGACUUCAAGGGAGCUACGAGUUGCAACCCUACCCUGUGCCAAGGCUAACUGCGGAAUGUUUUAUCCCAAAUUGCGUUUCCGGCCCAAGUCACUCCUCAGCCUAUGUUUCUGAGUUUAUCCCUUGAUUUUAGAAAUGAAAUGGCCCUACAAAGAGAAAAAUCUCCAUAAAGAAAUGUACCAGUCAAGAUCAAAUAUGACUUUAAAGGCUAGUAUCAUCUCAUGGGUGACAUGGGAAACCUGGCAAAAAGCCAAAUUACAAAGAAAAGUAUCUCAUUUGCCUAUUCAUUUGGCACAUUUUCUAGCAUGAAAAGAUCUGGAAAAAGGAGGGAGAAAAAGUAGUUCAUCCUAAAAUCAGAAGAAAACCAACAAAGCCUACAUGUGGCAGCCUCAGAGGAAGUUUUCAUCCACACCCUGGCAUUUCAUCACAGCCUGCUCAGCUCCGAUGAACAGCCAAACCAUGGUUCUUUGAGCAGCACAGUCCGUUCUCAAAGUUCAAGGAUUUUUCAAAAGGUCAGAGUUGUGGACACAUUGCUCAAACCAAACAGGGGGACGUAGAAAUGAGAGGCACAGUGGAUGGACUCACUGGGGCUGUGUACUGCAUGUGCUGGGAGUCAUCUCAGCAGGAUUUGUAAGCAAGUCCUAACUACACCAUUAGGGAGAGAAUAAAAGAAGCUGCUUAAACAUAAGACCUGGUGUGUCACUUCCCUCCCCACCCCAGUUAGCCAGAGCCUGGGAUUCUUAGUCAGAAGGCCAUGGCAAUGUCACUGAAGUCAGGCACCAAAACACUCCAACCGUCCAACCCAAACCUUGGAAUUCCCCAGGAAUAGGCCCUUAAAGUGAUGUCAAGUCUUGUGGGAUUCACCAUUUCCAGUCCUACAAGAACACCUCCUCUUUAACAAAAUCCUAGCUGCCAAGGAACGCAUCACACUGGAGCCAAGGAAGUCACUUGGUUGAUGCUUUAAAACUGAAGCCUGUCCAGAGCAGACAGACCUUCCCCCAAAAGGAGUGAAUUCUGUUGCAUCCCUGGAAACAAAACGAAGGGGAGCUGUAUCCAGAAUAGAGGCUGAGCAGGACCAGCUGAGCUGGGGCUGCCUCGGGAGGAGGAGUCCGAGGUCAUGGAGGACGGUGGUGGAAGAGAAGCACCCUUUUGUCUUCUGCUCAGCUGAAGUUUCCCUUAGUUGGACAGCCAGCCAUUCCAGCCUUUGACAUUUCUUGGGGCAAAGACAGGGCUUUGCCAAAGCAAAUGACCAAAUAAAUUGUAAGGAGAAGAUGGGAGAGAGGGAGCAAGAGGUGAAUCUACAGCCUUAAAAAAGGCUUGACAACGCAUCAUCAACCAAUGGACAAUCUGAAGUGGAAAUUAAGAAAAUAAUUCCAUUGACAAUAGCAUCAACAAGAGUAAAAUAGGUGCCGGUUGUGGAAGGAACAUGAGUGAUUUUUAGAGCAGUCAAGCUCUUCUGCAUGACACCAUAAUGGCAGUUACCUAUCGUUAUACAUUGGUCUGAAGUCACAGAAUGUAUGAUACCAAGAGUGAAACCUAAUGUAAACUGUGGAAUUUGGGUGAUUAUGGUGUUUCAGCGUAGGGUCAAUAAUUGUAACAAAUGUACCACUGUGCUGGGGGAUGUUGACAAGGGGAGGCCUUACAUGAGUGAGGGCAGGAAGCAUAAGGGAAAUUCCUGUACUUUCCAUUCAGUUUUACUGAGAAUCUAAAACUGCUCUAAAAAAUCGACACAACAUUGUAAAUCAACAAUAAAUUUAAAAAACAAAAAAUAAGGUUUUUAAAAAUAAAAAUAAAAAAUAAAACUCUCUGAAAAUAAAG